rnacentral:rRNA from 1 species
UCUUUAGAUUUAAUUUAAGAUCGGACCUGCCCAUUGAUUAUAUAAUUAAAAGGCUGCGGUAUUUUAACUGUACGAAGGUAGCAUAAUCAUUUGUCUUUUAAUUGAAGGCUAGAAUGAAUGGUUUGAUGAAAAAUAUUCUUUCUUUUUUUAAUUAGUUUGAAUUUAACUUUUUAGUUAAAAGGCUAAAAUUUUUUUAUAGGACGAGAAGACCCUAUAGAAGUUUACUUUAUUAAUUAUUUUUUGUUUUUUGUUUUUAAAAUAUUUUUUUUGAAAUAAAGUUUUGUUGGGGUGACAUUAAAAUUUAUUUAACUUUUAAUUUUUUUUUCAUUAAUUUAUGUUUUAUUGAUCCUAAAUUUUAGAUUAUAAGUUUAACUUACCUUAGGGAUAACAGCGUAAUUUUUUUGGAGAGAUCUUAUC